ACAGGUGUUACUGCGAAGGGGGGACGGAGAAGGCUAUGUUAGCCGGGCGACGGUUGUCCCGGUUUAAGCAUGUAGGCUGGUUGUCCAGGCAAAUCCGGAUAAUCAAGGCUGAGGUGUGAUGACGAGGCACUACGGUGCUGAAGUAACAAAUGCCCUGCUUCCAGGAAAAGCCUCUAAGCAUCAGGUAACAUUAAAUCGUACCCCAAACCGACACAGGUGGUCAGGUAGAGAAUACCAAGGCGCUUGAGAGAACUCGGGUGAAGGAACUAGGCAAAAUGGUGCCGUAACUUCGGGAGAAGGCACGCUGGUGUGUAGGUGAAGUCCCUGCGGAUGGAGCUGAGACCAGUCGAA
rnacentral:rRNA from 1 species